rnacentral:rRNA from 1 species
ACGAACGCUGGCGGCGUGCUUAACACAUGCCAGUCGAACGGAAAGGCCCUGCUUUUGUGGGGUGCUCGAGUGGCGAACGGGUGAGUAACACGUGAGUAACCUGCCCUUGACUUUGGGAUAACUUCAGGAAACUGGGGCUAAUACCGGAUAGGAGCUCCUGCUGCAUGGUGGGGGUUGGAAAGUUUCGGCGGUUGGGGAUGGACUCGCGGCUUAUCAGCUUGUUGGUGGGGUAGUGGCUUACCAAGGCUUUGACGGGUAGCCGGCCUGAGAGGGUGACCGGCCACAUUGGGACUGAGAUACGGCCCAGGCUCCUACGGGAGGCAGCAGUGGGGAAUAUUGCACAAUGGGCGGAAGCCUGAUGCAGCAACGCCGCGUGCGGGAUGACGGCCUUCGGGUUGUAAACCGCUUUCGCCUGUGACGAAGCGUGAGUGACGGUAAUGGGUAAAGAAGCACCGGCUAACUACGUG